GCAAAUACACAUGGACGGGAACAUAAGAAAUUUACUGUACACUGAGGGAUUCUGUUAUCCUUGAGGAUCUUAUUUUUGAAAUAAUUUUUGAAUAAUCAGUGGCUAAAAUGACUUGAUUUUUGUUGAUUUUCAAGAGUUGGUUCAAGUUUGGUUAUUUUUUAGAUUACUGGGCAUUAUUUGAUACUUCUGCUGGUCAACUUUGUUCAAAGCUGGUUUUCUUUGGGUUUAUGGGCUAAUAUCAUUAUUGUUGUUUUGUCUUACUGCUGUUGACUCUCAUUGUCCCAUUUCUUUUGCUUUUCCAGGUACAUUUUUACUCUAUCAAAUGUAAAAACAUUGUGAUAUGGAAAUUUGGAGGAUUUGAAGCAUAUUGACAAUUUGUUCUCAGUGUGGGAUAUUAAUUGUCUUCAUUAUGAAACUUUAGUUUGAAUAUGUUUACGUUUGUAAGUUGGUUAUUGACAGUGCUCUUUAG
rnacentral:lncRNA from 1 species